CAGAUCGAUGGGUAGAACCUUUUGAAUCGCUCUCCUGGACGCUUCCCAAUCGAGGAGGUUCACGCAAAUGGUUUGGAUGCUGGGAUCCUGGGUGCGCAGCUCGUCCAGGUUUCCCUGGGUCUUGGAUAAGGCGAUCACCUGGCCCUUGAACUUGGCCAGACGAAGCGCCAGAUCUCUCCCGAUACCUACGAUUCAUUGGCACGUUAAUCAGGGAGGAUCGAUUCAAUUGUCUUUUAAUAAAUGUAUCUACACUUUUAAUAAAGUGUAGAAGGUAAGAUUCGUUUAGAAAAAUAAAAAAAAGUUGUCGACAGGACGCGUGCUGAUCCCAGACGGUCGAUCGUUUAAAUACUAAUCGCGUGGUUCUUUGCAAUGUAAUACUAUCGUUGACUAUCGAGAUAAUCUUAAUUACUAGAUGCAAAGAACUUCGUAAAAUAUUCUACGAUAUAACAAAGUUUCCUAAUGUACUCGAUGAAAGUACAUCCGCUUAACAAGUUUAUAAAUUCUGAAUCUAUAAUUUGCAUAUUGUCCAGAGGUAAACAUUAUUAACGACAUCUCGUUUACGUAAUCGUCGAGGAAAGGUUUCAUCAUUAAUGCGAUAAAUUAAACCGGAUUACGACCGAUUACCAAUAUCUCUGCCAUUUGUGAAACAUUCCGUUUUACAUAAUCAAAUUUUAAUCAUCGAGUUAUAUGUCGAAGAAUAAUCAGGACUGAUCGGUUGUAUUUCAAUUCUUACCCAAUCAACGAUAACCUUUUUACCGAGCUAUGCGGAACUGAAUCGACAUUUGCAGAAUAAAGUAAAUACAAAAUACACGAUCGUACCUUUACCGGCCCCUGUUACGAGGAUACGUUUUCCUUCAAAGUUGAUGUUCAUCGCUGACGUAUGCGUUGCCGACUGAUACGAAUUAUUGGCCGCUCAAAUAUAUAUACAUAUAUACCGUCUGACCCUCCAAUCACCGUCAACGAUGUAUCGUAUAUAUGUAGGUACAUACAUUGAUAUCAGCUUCGUUGGUGCCGACGCGUUCUAUGACCCAUAAUAAAUGGCAAAUCCGCUACAAUCAAAGUCGUUUAAUUUGUCGACGUUUCAUUGCUAGCACGGUAGCAACCAUAACCUAUAAAUUGUCUUCGUUUAAUUAAGGUGUACAAUGUGUACAGGAACAGCGGUUCUUUCUUUAUUCGGUAAUUGAAAACGUAACCAUACAUGUUAUGCAAACAGAGGAUCGACUCGUUAGCGUUACUUAAAACAUAUUCAUUAAGUUAGCGAAGCGAAAGAAUUCGUAUGCACCUGCUUCGAAGCUACAUAUGUAGGCAUAUUCACUUUAAUAUUCCACUCGUUCCAAUUUGAAAGAAACGAAAAUAAUCUUGUUGAUUUCUGUGAGGCGCUUAAUUUCUUAUGAUUAAGAUUCUUCUUUUCCUCCGAUUUCUUCUGUGUCUCGUGUCAUGUUUUUCUCUAAUAGCAAAAGCUAUUUAAAAUAAUUCUGGUUUAUUAGAAAAGUAAACAGGUAAACGCUUUCAUGAUUAUGUCUUGAUAAAAUUCUUUGAAACUUUCCCGCCACAAGUUUUGAAACUUAAUGAUAGAAAGAGAAAGGAAAUAUCGAUCGUAUAUCGAUGAUACAAUGAAUCGUCGCAUCGUCAGCGAACUAUGAAGACGUCUCAGUCAUGUUCGUGUUUACAUAAAAAUUUGACGAUUGCAUUGUUGGUCUCUCUUUGUUAGAAUUUCAAUAAUUAAAGAGAGUAACUGUCAACGUAUACUAUAAAAGUAGUAACCAUAGUAAAUGUUGUGAUUGUUGAAUAUUGUUUGAAGUUUAACAAGACCUAACCUCGGUAUAUGAGCGUUUUACAUAAAAAUAAUUGCGUCGAAGCGAUAUUAGUGGUUCGAUCUGUACGAAUUUAAGACGAAAAUUGUCUUCCUUUAUUCGAUGAUUUAUUCGCAUGGUUGAAAACGAUAACAAAAGUAUUUGGUACACAAAUAUUUUGGAACAGCAAUAUCGGUAGUAAAGACCAGGCUUGGUAUUCGCGUUACUACCAAAGUAAUGAACAGAAUGGCGUUCAAAGUGUUCAUGGCAACUGGCAGCACGUUUCAUCGUGUCUUAAUUUUCAUGCUUAAGCUUGGUUGGCAAUCACGUUUUCGGUUACCUAUGCUUUUAGUCAUGUUGUUCGUGGCCACGGACUGUAGGAUUAAUCUGGAAGUCGGAUUUGAAACUACAGAACAACAUAAUCAUUUGUGAUUAAGGAUGUAAACAAGUUAACGACUAGAUCGUGUAACUGAAAAUGUUAAUUUCGUAUAGAAAACGUAAACUGUUAUUUAUUUUUCAAUUUAUGUAAGAUAACGUAGUUUAAGGAUGAAAGGGUAUCGUUAAAACUAUGAUUAACUUCUGUUGUAACGUUUAAAUGUUAUAAACUGAUCUCUGCAUUGGAA